rnacentral:rRNA from 1 species
ACCGGCGAACGGGUGCGUAACACGUGAGCAAUCUGCCGUACACUGGGGGAUAGCCGGCCCAACGGCCGGGUAAUACCGCAUACGCUCCUUUGGCGGCAUCGCUGAGGGAGGAAACCUCCGGGGGUGUACGAGGAGCUCGCGGCCUAUCAGGUAGUUGGUGGGGUCACGGCCUACCAAGCCAUUGACGGGUAGCUGGUCUGAGAGGAUGGCCAGCCACAUUGGGACUGAGAUACGGCCCAGACUCCUACGGGAGGCAGCAGUGGGGAAUAUUGCGCAAUGGCCGCAAGGCUGACGCAGCGACGCCGCGUGGGGGAUGAAGCAUUUCGGUGUGUAAACCCCUGUUGCUCGGGACGAACAGCUCUUUUCGAGGAGCCUGACGGUACCGGGUGAGGAAGCACCGGCUAACUCCGUGCCAGCAGCCGCGGUAAUACGGAGGGUGCGAGCGUUGUCCGGAAUCACUGGGCGUAAAGGGCGCGUAGGUGGUCUGCUAAGCGUGCGGUGAAAGCCCGGGGCUCAACCCCGGGUCGGCCGUGCGAACUGGUGGACUGGAGCACUGUAGAGGCAGGUGGAAUUCCGGGUGUAGCGGUGGAAUGCGUAGAGAUCCGGAAGAACACCGGUGGCGAAGGCGGCCUGCUGGGCAGUUGCUGACACUGAGGCGCGACAGCGUGGGGAGCAAACAGGAUUAGAUACCCUGGUAGUC